rnacentral:lncRNA from 1 species
AAGUAUGUUAGAUAGUCCUAGAGAUGCAGAAAUUGAAAGAGAAGUCAAAUAAGAAUGUGAGGUGGCUGAUGAGGGAGGAAUUGAUAAAUAAAAAGAAGAAGAAAAAUGCACAAUACAGGAUAAAGAGAUAGAAGCAAGAAUAGAAGAAGCUGAGGUGAAAAUUAUAUGUGGGAAAAGAACCAGAAUGCAAUAUAAAGAUUAUAUAGUUUUGGAUGAAGCUUCAAAUUCAAUGAGCCGUUUAGGCGUAGAUGUCCAACUACAAGAUCUUCAAUAAAAUGAUAGUCCUGCACCUAGCAACAAGGUUGAUAAAAGAGGAGAAAUAGAUGAAUUACUGGAUGAGAUUUAUGUCUUGCUCAAUACUAUCAAGCUGAAGAGAAUAUGGAAGAAAAACCUUUA